rnacentral:lncRNA from 1 species
CUGAGUUCAGGUUGUUUCGUUCGACACCGACGGCUCGCGAGUCACGUUGAGAGGGUCAAAUUCAUUCCCGUGAAAAAUAUAACUUUUAAUCUUCAAAAUGAUGGGAAUUCGAUCUGCCAUCCGCCUGGUUCAACCAGCCAAGACUACGGUCAACAGUUUCAGAACAUUUGUUACUUCAGCUCCUCCACUUUAUAAGUGUACUUUUGCGGACUACGCGAUGAUCACGGCCUCGGCUGCCACUGCCGUCUUCGCCAUCCCGGCGUGGGUGUUGUACCAUCUUGACGAGUACAAGGGCAAGACCAAGCAGUAGACGGGGGCUGGGGCCUUGCGCUAUGCUCCCCUCAAUGUUGUACAUGUCCUACGCUCCUACUUCAUCAGCCCGAAAACAUCAGCCUUGAUGAAUUGUCCAUGAAACUUGUUUGGACCGUUCUGGAUUAACAUUAGCAUACUUAUCAUAUUAAAUUUAACUGCACUCCUACUUCAUCAGCAUGAAGACAUUAGCCUCGAUGAAUUGUCCAUGAAACUUGUUUGUCCGUUCUUGAUUAACAUUAGCAUACUUGGCAUGUUAAAUUUGUCUGAAUUGUCACCAAGAGCGAUUUUAAUCAUUGAGUGACUUUUAUUGUGACCAGCCCUACUUAUCCAUCAAUCCAAAUUAGAUUUAAAUGGCAACAUAUUUUGGCUGCUUACCAGUUUGCAACAUCAUGCCUUAUGGCUAAAAAUUCAUUUUGCCAUGUUCUAAAACUCUAACGAAUUGGCGCAUCUACAUUGUCAUUUAUUGUCGCAAAGAACCUCGUGUAUAUAAGACUAUCCACAAUAAAUGGACAUUUAUAA